rnacentral:lncRNA from 1 species
CCGGGAGGCAGCAUCAGCAGGGAAGAAUUAAUGGGACGUAGUCCAGACCUGGGCCUGGGCGUCAGCCCUCAGCCCCUCAGCCAGUUUCUGUUUGCUUGUGUUGAGAAGUGCUGAUGACUGGGUAGAACAGAUGAGGUCGGUCACAGGUAUAUUUCAGGGAAACAAGAUUCAACCUUAACCCGAUCUGAAGAGCUGGCACAGAGAAACACCCGGUCGGUCUGUGACUUGUCCCCAAGAGAUUGGUUUUCUCAGCCCUUAUCACUGUGGAAUUGCAAAGGUAGAGAUCACCACCCUCCUGGUUCUUCACCUG